rnacentral:rRNA from 1 species
AUUGAACGCUGGCGGCAUGCCUUACACAUGCAAGUCGAACGGCAGCACGGGUGCUUGCACCUGGUGSCGAGUGGCGAACGGGUGAGUAAUACAUCGGAACGUACCUUAUCGUGGGGGAUAACGCAGCGAAAGCUGUGCUAAUACCGCAUACGCCCUGAGGGGGAAAGCGGGGGAUCGAAAGACCUCGCGCGAUUAGAGCGGCCGAUGCCUGAUUAGCUUGUUGGUGGGGUAAAAGCCUACCAAGGCGACGAUCAGUAGCUGGUCUGAGAGGACGAUCAGCCACACUGGGACUGAGACACGGCCCAGACUCCUACGGGAGGCAGCAGUGGGGAAUUUUGGACAAUGGGGGCAACCCUGAUCCAGCAAUGCCGCGUGAGUGAAGAAGGCCUUCGGGUUGUAAAGCUCUUUUGUCAGGGAAGAAACACCGGCUCUAACACAGUCCGGGAAUGACGGUACCUGAAGAAUAAGCACCUCUGUG